UUGAACGCUGGCGGAAUGCUUUACACAUGCAAGUCGAACGGCAGCACGGGAGCAAUCCUGGUGGCGAGUGGCGAACGGGUGAGUAAUAUAUCGGAACGUGCCCGGUCGUGGGGGAUAACGUAGCGAAAGCUACGCUAAUACCGCAUACGAUCUACGGAUGAAAGCGGGGGAUCGCAAGACCUCGCGCGAUUGGAGCGGCCGAUAUCAGAUUAGGUAGUUGGUGAGGUAAAGGCUCACCAAGCCGACGAUCUGUAGCUGGUCUGAGAGGACGACCAGCCACACUGGGACUGAGACACGGCCCAGACUCCUACGGGAGGCAGCAGUGGGGAAUUUUGGACAAUGGGCGCAAGCCUGAUCCAGCAAUGCCGCGUGCAGGAUGAAGGCCUUCGGGUUGUAAACUGCUUUGUACGGAACGAAACGGUGAGCUCUAAUACAGUUUGCUAAUGACGGUACCGUAAGAAUAAGCACCGGCUAACUACGUG
rnacentral:rRNA from 1 species